rnacentral:rRNA from 1 species
UACGGGGGGGGCAAGCGUUGUUCGGAAUUACUGGGCGUAAAGGGCUCGUAGGCGGCCAACUAAGUCCGACGUGAAAUCCCAAGGCUUAACCUUGGAACUGCGUCGGAUACUGGAUGGCUUGAAUUCGGGAGAGGGAUGCAGAAUUCCAGGUGUAGCGGUGAAAUGCGUAGAUAUCUGGAGGAACACCGGUGGCGAAGGCGAGUUCCUGGACAAGACCUGACGCUGAGGCACGAAAGCCAGGGGAGCAAACAGG